GAUGAACGCUAGCGGCAGGCCUAACACAUGCAAGUCGAGGGGCAUCGCGGUGCAGCAAUGCACUGGCGGCGACCCGGCGUACGGGUGCGUAACGCGUAUGCAACCUGCCCCGCACCGGGGGAUAGCCCGCCGAAAGGCGGAUUAAUACCCCAUGGUCCCGGGUGUCCCGCAUGGGCAUCCGGGUAAAGCCUUGGCGGUGCGGGAUGGGCAUGCGUGCCAUUAGCUGGCUGGUGGGGUAACGGCCCACCAGGGCAACGAUGGCUAGGGGGUCUGAGAGGAUGGUCCCCCACACUGGUACUGAGACACGGACCAGACUCCUACGGGAGGCAGCAGUGAGGAAUAUUGGUCAAUGGGCGGAAGCCUGAACCAGCCAUGCCGCGUGCGGGAUGAAGGCCCUACGGGUUGUAAACCGCUUUUCCCCGGGAAGAAUAACCCCGACGCGUCGGGGGAUGCCGGUACCGGGGGAAUAAGGAUCGGCUAACUCCGUG
rnacentral:rRNA from 1 species